rnacentral:tRNA from 1 species
GCUCUCGUAGUUCAGUUGGAUAGAACGACUCUCUCCUAAGGAGUAAACACAGGUUCGACUCCUGUCGGGGGUA